ACAAUACGUUUCGACAAUGCGUUCACUAUUGUUAUAUGACUAUGCGUGCAUCGCGUACUGCUGACACACAUACAAGAAGCAUGGAUUGAGUCAGUCAGUGAGUAAUCGCUGUAAAAGCGUGUAAGGGACGAACAUUCUUAUUGGCUCUCGUCCCGCCGAGAUUACUGACGUCGAACUGCUUGAUGCUUCAUCUACUUUCCUACUUUCCUUCGUCGACGAAUAAAAUCUCGCUGCUCACUCAGUCCACGUGUUACUUCCAAUGGAAAAACCAAUUUAUACGAGUUGUAGUUCAUACACGAGUCUCUUCAAACUUCAGAUUCUGUUUUGUUCGUAUUAUAAGUAAUUAUUAAUAGUAUAAAAUAAGAUAAAAUGUGGAAACUUGUGCGCAUGUGACACUUGACUUCAAAGAUUUUGUAUGGAUUACGAUAGUCCAUAGGCAUAUUUUACCGUAUUCAACAAAUUGUAGUUCCGUCUUUUCCCACGUGGGUAGUGGUAGCAUGACUAUCUUUCCAAGUUCCUCCACAAUGAUUUCGCACUGAACAGGUACCACAUACUAUAUAUUAUAUACUAAAGAGUGCCCUUUAUAUAUAUUUUGUACAUUUGAAAGUUUAAUUAAUAAAGAAACUCAUGUUCUCCUGAUACAAAAUCCAAUUUUUGGAAUUGCGACGUCGCGGUAGAAUUUAAUGCUACCUCCUAUGGUCUUAUGUUCUCCUGAUACAAAGUCCAAAAAUCCGAAUUUAUUGAAAGAAUUUAACGUUGUAACAGGAGAAUAUAAUGAGUGAAGUGAUGUCCUUUCCUGGAAUUCUGUGACGUCAUAAUUCCAAGAAUAUCUGAGCAUAAAAUUUCAAGCGCUGACAACUAAUGUAAUAGUGACCACGGCUAGUUUAUCGAGUUUCCUGUUUCGGAAUUAUAUAUACAGGUAUUUGACUGUACUCUUAAUUCGUGAUUCUAAUAUACUGUAAAACGCAAAGAAUAUCAGAUUAAUAAAUACCAAUUGCGCUCUA